AUGCAGCCAUGCCGCGUGUGUGAAGAAGGCCUUCGGGUUGUAAAGCACUUUCAGCGAGGAGGAAGGGUUCAGUGUUAAUAGCACUGUUCAUUGACGUUACUCGCAGAAGAAGCACCGGCUAACUCCGUGCCAGCAGCCGCGGUAAUACGGAGGGUGCAAGCGUUAAUCGGAAUUACUGGGCGUAAAGCGCACGCAGGCGGUUUGUUAAGUCAGAUGUGAAAUCCCCGCGCUUAACGUGGGAACUGCAUUUGAAACUGGCAAGCUAGAGUCUUGUAGAGGGGGGUAGAAUUCCAGGUGUAGCGGUGAAAUGCGUAGAGAUCUGGAGGAAUACCGGUGGCGAAGGCGGCCCCCUGGACAAAGACUGACGCUCAGGUGCGAAAGCGUGGGGAGCAAACAGGAUUAGAUACCCUG
rnacentral:rRNA from 1 species